rnacentral:rRNA from 1 species
AGCGUAGACGGUGUGGCAAGUCUGAUGUGAAAGGCAUGGGCUCAACCUGUGGACUGCAUUGGAAACUGUCAUACUUGAGUGCCGGAGGGGUAAGCGGAAUUCCUAGUGUAGCGGCGAAAUGCGUAGAUAUUAGGAGGAACACCAGUGGCGAAGGCGGCUUACUGGACGGUAACUGACGUUGAGGCUCGAAAGCGUGGGAGCAAACA